CGCGUGAGGAACCUGCCUCAAAGAGGGGGACAACAGUUGGAAACGACUGCUAAUACCGCAUAAGCCCACGGGUCGGCAUCGACCAGAGGGAAAAGGAGCAAUCCGCUUUGAGAUGGCCUCGCGUCCGAUUAGCUAGUUGGUGAGGUAACGGCCCACCAAGGCAACGAUCGGUAGCCGGACUGAGAGGUUGAACGGCCACAUUGGGACUGAGACACGGCCCAG
rnacentral:rRNA from 1 species